AGCAGAUUGGAGACAGCAUCUGGCUUAUCUCACUACAAUCUGGCAACAGGCACCAAGAAUGGAUUGCUCCUGCCUCCCACUCAGGAACCCAGUUAGUGUGGACACAGGUGGCAACAGGUGGUGCCCGCGAACAGUGGCCUGAGUACAGCCCUGGCCUGCCACUCAGGUGUACCUGGUUCAUGUGAGCUGUGAGCUGGCUCACAACAAUCUGGCACCGAAAUAGGGACCUGAAGAAUGGCAGAAGGAUGCUGAAAGAACGUUGUUUC